rnacentral:lncRNA from 1 species
CUGCCUUAAGGAAUCUAAGGUGAAAGGAUAAGUCUAAUGGAAGCGCAUUCCAGUUUGCUGAUGAGCACAAAAGCCAUAGCAGCUAAGUGCCAUGGGUUCCAGAGAAGGAAAGUGUCUCCGUGCAGGCUGGCUUCAUAAAGGCUUCUGAGAUAGGCCUAAAGGAUAGAUCAGAUUUCAGGAAGUAAGCACAAGACAGGAAUAAGCAAGAAAUAAUGAUGACACACAAGGAAUGGAGAGGAAAGAAUGCCAUCAGAAGAAUAUCUUCAGAGAAUUGCACAAUAAAGAGUAAUGUUAUGAAGAAGACUUGAGCAGGCAGUCCAGAGCUGAUACAGCUGCUCCAAUCACCAGAGAUGCAAUCUCCUGCUAGAUGUCUUCACAUCUACCUUUCUAUGUCACAUGUGCAAGAUGGUUGCUCUGCCUUCAGACAUCACAUUUACAUUCCAGGCAGAAAGGAGAAGGAAAGAGCAAAAGAUGUGUUCCGAACAAAUCCAUCUUAAAAACAAACAAGGGGAGGGGUAGCAGGAGAAAAUUU